rnacentral:rRNA from 1 species
GAUGAACGCUAGCGGCAGGCCUAACACAUGCAAGUCGAGGGGUAGAGGAAGCUUGCUUCCUUGAGACCGGCGCACGGGUGCGUAACGCGUAUGCAAUCUACCUUUUACAGAGGGAUAGCCCAGAGAAAUUUGGAUUAAUACCUCAUAGUAUUUUCGAAUGGCAUCAUUUGAUUAUUAAAGUACCAACGGUAAAAGAUGAGCAUGCGUCCUAUUAGCUAGAUGGUAAGGUAACGGCUUACCAUGGCAACGAUAGGUAGGGGUCCUGAGAGGGAGAUCCCCCACACUGGUACUGAGACACGGACCAGACUCCUACGGGAGGCAGCAGUGAGGAAUAUUGGACAAUGGGCGCAAGCCUGAUCCAGCCACGCCGCGUGCAGGAAGACGCAUCUAUGGUGUGUAAACUGCUUUUGUACGGGAAGAAACACUCCCUCGUGAGGGAGCUUGACGGUACCGUAAGAAUAAGGAUCGGCUAACUCCGUGCCAGCCGCCGCCGUAAAAC